UGGGGGAUAUUGCACAAUGGGCGAAAGCCUGAUGCAGCGACGCCGCGUGGGGGAUGAAGGCCUUCGGGUUGUAAACUUCUCUUGCUCUGAACAAGGCAUGCCUUUGGGGUGUGUUGAGUGUAGGGGUUGAUUAGCGCCGGCUAACUACGUGCCAGCAGCCGCGGUAAUACGUAGGGCGCGAGCGUUGUCCGGAAUUAUUGGGCGUAAAGGGCUUGUAGGUGGCUGGUUGCGUCUGUCGUGAAAGCUCAUGGCUUAACUGUGGGUUUGCGGUGGGUACGGGCUGGCUUGAGUGCAGUAGGGGAGGCUGGAAUUCCUGGUGUAGCGGUGGAAUGCGCAGAUAUCAGGAGGAAUACCGGUGGCGAAGGCGGGUCUCUGGGCUGUUACUGACGCUGAGGAGCGAAAGCGUGGGGAGCGAACAGG
rnacentral:rRNA from 1 species